rnacentral:rRNA from 1 species
CCUACGGGCGGCAGCAGUGAGGAAUAUUGGUCAAUGGGCGUAAGCCUGAACCAGCAAAGUCGCGUGAGGGAUGAAGGUUCUAUGGAUCGUAAACCUCUUUUAUAAGGGAAAACAGUGUGGGACGUGUCCUGUUUUGAAUGUACCUUAUGAAUAAGGAUAGGCUAACUCCGUGCCAGCAGCCGCGGUAAUACGGAGGCUCCGAGCGUUAUCCGGAUUUAUUGGGUUUAAAGGGUGCGUAGGCGGCCUUUUAAGUCAGCGGUGAAAGUCUGUGGGUCAACCAUAGAAUUGCUGUUGAUACUGGGAGGCUUGAGUGUGUUUGAGGCAGGGGGAAUGCGUGGUGUAGCGGUGAAAUGCUUAGAUAUCAGGCAGAACCCCGAUGGCGAAGGCAGCCUGCCAAGCCAUGACUGACGCUGAUGCACGAAAGCGUGGGGAUCAAACAGGAUUAGAUACCCCUGUAGUC